GACGUAGGGCGCGAGCGUUGUCCGGAUUUAUUGGGCGUAAAGAGCUCGUAGGCGGCUUGUCGCGUCGUCCGUGAAAACCUGGGGCUCAACUCCAGGCUUGCGGUCGAUACGGGCAGGCUAGAGUUCGGUAGGGGAGACUGGAAUUCCUGGUGUAGCGGUGAAAUGCGCAGAUAUCAGGAAGAACACCUAUGGCGAAAGCAGCUC
rnacentral:rRNA from 1 species